rnacentral:rRNA from 1 species
AUGAAAAAAAUCCAGAACCACAUCCUUGCCAAGGAAGGCUGCAAUGAUUACAGGACAGAACACCUUGAGAUUGAGCUGUGGUCCAACUUCCCAAUAGAGAAGCAAGCUUACAAAACCUACACUAGGGACCUUUACCGCAAGUUCAGAGAAGAGUUUGAGCUGAUUGGACGUUAUAAUGCAUUCCAAGUUGGUGCUGAUAAAUUUGAGCUCAGACCGAACAAGGAAUUUGUUGCCAAAUAUGGUUCUCGAAACUACUUGGUGCAGGCAAGGGUGGAGGAGGGUUCCUAUUUGUGUGAGUGCUGUAAAAUGGACAAGGACGACAUCCUCUGUUGCCACAUCCUCAAGGUGUUCACCCAUAUUGGGGUUGAUGUCAUACCGGAAAGGUACCUGCUAAGACGGUGGACACCUACUGCUGUACCUAGUGCGCCAGGGACUGGUUAUGAUCAACCGGAUGAAAUGCCUCCUCAAUCAAAGAAGCAGAUAAGGGAGAGGAACAUGAUAUACGAUUUUCGGAAACUAGCAAAGUUUGCGAGUGGUUCUGAUCCAGCACAAGCUAUUGUAUACAAGCAUAUGCGCGCAGCACGUACCGAGAUCGUCCACCUGAACAAGUCCAAGAAAAAGAAGAAAAAACGACUGCUGCCACGGGGCCAUCAGAUGAUGGCAACCCUCGAGGACCUCCUCCACCUCCAGGCAGCACUCAGGGGGCUCAUCAUCCAGGUGAUGUCAACCCUCAAGGACCUCCUCCACCUCCUGGCUGUACACGGCAUCCUCUGCCACCUCCUCCCCCGUGUGCUCCUCCCAAUGUCCCUACAGGCAGCACUCAGGGGGCUCAUCGUCCAGGUGAUGCCAACCCUCAAAGACCUCCUCCCCCUCCUAGCCCAACUAGCAGUGCCCUGCGUGCUACUCCUAAUGGACCUACAGGCAGGACUCAGGGGGCUCAUCACCCAGGUAAAUACCUUCCCCAACUCCCAACAAAACUAG